CUAGAUCUCAGGAAACAGCACACUGCAAAAAUUCAAAGUCUUACCAAGUAAUUUUGGUCUAGUUUUUAGUGCAAAUAUCUUGGUACACUUGAAAUGAGACAAACUAAUUUAAAAGUAACUUUUCAGCAAG